rnacentral:rRNA from 1 species
UACGUAGGGGGCGAGCGUUGUCCGGAUUCAUUGGCGUAAAGAGCUCGUAGGCGGUCUGUCGCGUCGGUCGUGAAAACUUGGGGCUUAACCCUGAGCUUGCGGUCGAUACGGGCAUGACUGGAGUUCGGCAGGGGAGACUGGAAUUCCUGGUGUAGCGGUGAAAUGCGCAGAUAUCAGGAGGAACACCGGUGGCGAAGGCGGGUCUCUGGGCCGAUACUGACGCUGAGGAGCGAAAGCGUGGGGAGCGAACAGG